UACGUAGGGUGCAAGCGUUAUCCGGAAUUAUUGGGCGUAAAGAGCUCGUAGGCGGUUUGUCGCGUCUGCUGUGAAAACUGGAGGCUCAACCUCCAGCCUGCAGUGGGUACGGGCAGACUAGAGUGCGGUAGGGGAGAUUGGAAUUCCUGGUGUAGCGGUGGAAUGCGCAGAUAUCAGGAAGAACACCCGUGGCGAAGGCGGCUCUCUGGGACGGUACUGACGCUGAGACGCGAAAGCGUGGGGAGCGAACAGG
rnacentral:rRNA from 1 species